GGGCAGACUAGAGUGCGGUAGGGGAGAUUGGAAUUCCUGGUGUAGCGGUGGAAUGCGCAGAUAUCAGGAGGAACACCGAUGGCGAAGGCAGAUCUCUGGGCCGUAACUGACGCUGAGGAGCGAAAGGGUGGGGAGCAAACAGGCUUAGAUACCCUGGUAGUCCACCCCGUAAACGUUGGGAACUAGUUGUGGGGACCAUUCCACGGUUUCCGUGACGCAGCUAACGCAUUAAGUUCCCCGCCUGGGGAGUACGGCCGCAAGGCUAAAACUCAAAGGAAUUGACGGGGACCCGCACAAGCGGCGGAGCAUGCGGAUUAAUUCGAUGCAACGCGAAGAACCUUACCAAGGCUUGACAUACACCAGAACACCGUAGAAAUACGGGACUCUUUGGACACUGGUGAACAGGUGGUGCAUGGUUGUCGUCAGCUCGUGUCGUGAGAUGUUGGGUUAAGUCCCGCAACGAGCGCAACCCUCGUUCUAUGUUGCCAGCACGUAAUGGUGGGAACUCAUGGGAUACUGCCGGGGUCAACUCGGAGGAAGGUGGGGAUGACGUCAAAUCAUCAUGCCCCUUAUGUCUUGGGCUUCACGCAUGCUACAAUGGCCGGUACAAAGGGCUGCAAUACCGUGAGGUGGAGCGAAUCCCAAAAAGCCGGUCCCAGUUCGGAUUGAGGUCUGCAACUCGACCUCAUGAAGUCGGAGUCGCUAGUAAUCGCAGAUCAGCAACGCUGCGGUGAAUACGUUCCCGGGUCUUGUACACACCGCCCGUCAAGUCAUGAAAGUCGGUAACACCUGAAGCCCGGU
rnacentral:rRNA from 1 species